rnacentral:rRNA from 1 species
UACGUAGGGUGCGAGCGUUAAUCGGAAUUACUGGGCGUAAAGCGUGCGCAGGCGGUUUUGUAAGCCAGAUGUGAAAUCCCCGGGCUUAACCUGGGAAUGGCAUUUGGGACUGCAAGGCUCGAGUGCGGCAGAGGAGACUGGAAUUCCUGGUGUAGCAGUGAAAUGCGUAGAUAUCAGGAGGAACACCGAUGGCGAAGGCAGGUCUCUGGGCUGACACUGACGCUCAUGCACGAAAGCGUGGGGAGCAAACAAG